AUUUUAGUAUUGACAUCAAUCCACAUGUAUUGAGGUAGAUUGGAGUGUAAUUUAAUUUAAGUUACACCAUAAUCCACAUCAAUACAUGUGGAUUGUAAUCAAUACUAGG
rfam:Zea mays cultivar B73 chromosome 7, whole genome shotgun sequence.